GACGAACGCUGGCGGCGUGCUUAACACAUGCAAGUCGAACGGAAAGGCCCUGCUUUUGUGGGGUGCUCGAGUGGCGAACGGGUGAGUAACACGUGAGUAACCUGCCCUUGACUUUGGGAUAACUUCAGGAAACUGGGGCUAAUACCGGAUAGGAGCUCCUGCUGCAUGGUGGGGGUUGGAAAGUUUCGGCGGUUGGGGAUGGACUCGCGGCUUAUCAGCUUGUUGGUGGGGUAGUGGCUUACCAAGGCUUUGACGGGUAGCCGGCCUGAGAGGGUGACCGGCCACAUGGGGACUGAGAUACGGCCCAGACUCCUACGGGAGGCAGCAGUGGGGAAUAUUGCACAAUGGGCGGAAGCCUGAUGCAGCAACGCCGCGUGCGGGAUGACGGCCUUCGGGUUGUAAACCGCUUUCGCCUGUGACGAAGCGUGAGUGACAGUAAUGGGUAAAGAAGCACCGGCUAACUACGUG
rnacentral:rRNA from 1 species